CACGUAGGGCGCGAGCGUUGUCCGGAAUUAUUGGGCGUAAAGAGCUCGUAGGCGGCCUGUUGCGUCCGCUGUGAAAGCCCGGGGCUUAACCCCGGGUCUGCAGUGGAUACGGGCAGGCUAGAGGUAGGUAGGGGAGAAUGGAAUUCCCGGUGUAGCGGUGAAAUGCGCAGAUAUCGGGAGGAAUACCAAAGGCGAAGGCAGUGUCCUGGCUGGCAUCUGACGCUGAGGCGCGAAAGCUAGGGGAGCGAACAGG
rnacentral:rRNA from 1 species